UCCCUUCUCAACUUAGGGCGGCGGCAGGCCCGCGCCCCUGGCUCCCAGGCCAUGGCGCUGAGGGAGCUCAAAGUGUGUCUGCUGGGGGAUACAGGUGUGGGUAAAUCAAGUAUUGUGUGGCAGUUCAUGGAAGACAGUUUUGAUCCGAACAUCAACCCAACAAUAGGGGCAUCUUUUAUGACCAAGACUGUCCAGUACCAAAAUGAACUACAUAAAUUCUUCAUCUGGGACACAGCUGGACAAGAACGAUUUCGUGCCUUAGCACCAAUGUACUACCGAGGCUCGGCUGCAGCUAUAAUUGUUUACGACAUCACGAAAGAAGAGACAUUUUCAACAUUAAAGAAUUGGGUAAAAGAGCUUUGGCAGCAUGGCCCACCCAAUAUUGUAGUUGCCAUUGCAGGAAAUAAGUGUGAUCUUAUCGAUGUAAGAGAGGUCAUGGAGAGAGAUGCCAAGGACUACGCUGACUCCAUCCAUGCAGUCUUUGUAGAGACAAGUGCGAAGAAUGCGAUAAACAUAAAUGAACUCUUUAUAGAAAUUAGUCGAAGAAUUCCAUCCACUGACGCUAGCCUGCCUUCUGGCAGAAAGGGCUUCAAACUCCGCAGACAGCCUUCGGAGCCAAAGCGGAGCUGCUGCUGACCGGGCCUCGGACCCCAGGGCUUCCCGAUGAAGUAGGUGGUCCUGGCAGGUCUAGGGAGGGCUAGGCCCCGCCUCCGGGGGUCACCUGCCAGUCUUGGAUCUUCUUCGGGCAACAAGGAUUCACAGGAAUUGACCGGUUUCGUCUCUUUGGAGACUGCAGCAAUAAUACGUCAGUCUGUGGACUUCCGUCCUGUAAAGAAUCUCUGUGUACACAGGGACUGCAUCGUUGGCUACUGAUCUUGCAGAGAAGGAAUGUACAGUUGUGUGGAUGGUAGGAUGAGAUCAUUGAGUAGCUUUGUAGUCAAGAUUCUAUGUCACAUUUGUAAAGGGAAAAUUAGCACUUUCGUGGUUCUUGAGGGAAAAAAAAACGACCUUGUGGCGACAUUCCUUCCCUUGGUUUCCCAUUGCCACUGUUAGAGGGAGUGGUAGCAUUUAGAAUGUGUGCAGUUACCACCAUGGAGGGAUGGCAGUUACGAUCGUCUGAAGCUGACGUGGGUUGUUUCUGGGGCUGAUGGAGAGGCACCCACCCCUGCCGUCUCUGACGCACUUUGCAUUGGGCGCAGCAGCCCAGGACCCUGUCGCACGUGUGUCCCCAGGCACGUCACUGGCACCUUUUUAGGUAAGCUCUGACGAUCGAAACGGUGGUGGUAGAGAGGCUGCCUGGAACAUGUUGAAUUGCAGAUUCAGUUUAAACUGACUAGCCAUGUUUUCGAAAAGAAGAGAGGAAGCCCAGAAAGUGGAGUAAAUGCUGUCUGUUUUUUAUUUAACCGAGCUGUCUUGGUGGGGGAAACAGUUAUCUGCCGCUUGCUUAGCACAUGUAAAGUUGUAGUCAUAUAUUUAUGAGACCACUGCUUACAGAUUAUAAAUUAUGUAAAUACAUUAAUAAAUUCUAUGUUUCGUUAAAAAAAAAAAAAAGAAA